rnacentral:lncRNA from 1 species
GGCGUUGUUGCCUCUUGACCUCCCAGCAACACUUUGUGGGAAGUGUGAUGAGCCCCAUUUCACAGAUGAUGAAGAUGAGGCCAAGGAAAUUCAGGAGACAUACCCACGAUGGCAUUAUGAGGACAAAGCAGAGCCAGGACCUUAACCACCCCCCUCUGACCUCAAAGCCUUUGCGUUUAUUUAAGUGAAUUAACUGCAAGACACCGGCACCCAGAUGGGCAACAGAUGGAGAUCAGAUUAGCCCUGAGCUAACAUCUGCUGCCAAUCCUCCUCUUUUUGCUGAGGAAGACUGGCCCUGAGCUCACAUCUGUGCCCAUCUUCCUCUACUUUAUAUGUGGGACGCCUACCACAGCAUGGUGUGCCAAGCGGUGCCACGUCCGCACCCAGGAUCUGAACUGGCGAACCCGGAGCUGCCGAAGUGGAACAUGCGCACUUAACUGCUACGCCACUGGGCCGACUCCACCAGUACUUUCUUUUUGACAUACAUCCCGUUUCUCACUCUCGACACUCUUGACGUUUGGGACGGGUCACUCCUUGCUGUGGGGCGCCCAGUGCACUGUAGGGUGUUGAGCACAUUCCUGGACCCUACUCACCAGAUGCUGGCAGCACCGCCCCCUACAGUUGUGACAACCAAAAUGUCUUCAGAUGCUGCCAAUUGUCCUCUGGGGGGCAACAUUGCCCCCAGUUGAGAACCACUGACCCUCAUCAUGGAAAUGGAAGACCAUGACCUUGGCCUUGGCCCUGGGAUUACGCAG